ACUCCUACGGGAGGCAGCAGUGAGGAAUAUUGGACAAUGGGCGAGGGCCUGAUCCAGCCAUGCCGCGUGCAGGAAGAAUGCCCUAUGGGUAGUAAACUGCUUUUAUACGGGAAGAAAAAGGGGCACGUGUGCCCUGUUGACGGUACCGUAAGAAUAAGGACCGGCUAACUCCGUGCCAGCAGCCGCGGUAAUACGGAGGGUCCGAGCGUUAAUCGGAAUUACUGGGCGUAAAGCGCAUGCAGGUGGUUUGUUAAGUCAGAUGUGAAAGCCCGGGGCUCAACCUCGGAAUUGCAUUUGAAACUGGCAGGCUAGAGUCUUGUAGAGGGGGGUAGAAUUUCAGGUGUAGCGGUGAAAUGCGUAGAGAUCUGAAGGAAUACCAGUGGCGAAGGCGGCCCCCUGGACAAAGACUGACGCUCAGAUGCGAAAGCGUGGGGAAGCAAACGAGG
rnacentral:rRNA from 1 species